AAGUCGUAACAAGGUUUCCGUAGGUGAACCUGCGGAAGGAUCAUUAACACGUAUCCAAACGUUAAACCCCCCCGUGAACCUUCAUCGUGCUCUAGUGGGCCACUGAUAAACACAGCAAUUCCUGGUAAAUCAUUGUCUGAACAAGCCUUUGAGUCAGGAACCUCUGUACAGUGAGAGCUACAUUGUUUCCCCAAGCAGUCAGUGCGUGAAAGUGGCAACUGACUGUUUCCGAUUUUGCAGCCGCAACACGCGAGCAGAGCUUUGCCAAAGGGUCCCCAUGCCCUCUGCCGAUUUUACAUACAAAGCUCCAUUUUGAAUUAUGGAUGGGGUAAAACCGAACAACUGUUAACAAUGGAUAUCUUGGUUCUC
rnacentral:misc_RNA from 1 species